rnacentral:rRNA from 1 species
GCUGAAGCAACAAAUGCCCUGCUUCCAGGAAAAGCCUCUAAGCAUCAGGUAACAUCAAAUCGUACCCCAAACCGACACAGGUGGUCAGGUAGAGAAUACCAAGGCGCUUGAGAGAACUCGGGUGAAGGAACUAGGCAAAAUGGUGCCGUAACUUCGGGAGAAGGCACGCUGAUAUGUAGGUGAAGUCCCUCGCGGAUGGAGCUGAAAUCAGUCGAAGAUACCAGCUGGCUGCAACUGUUUAUUAAAAACACAGCACUGUGCAAACACGAAAGUGGACGUAUACGGUGUGACGCCUGCCCGGUGCCGGAAGGUUAAUUGAUGGGGUCAGCGCAAGCGAAGCUCUUGAUCGAAGCCCCGGUAAACGGCGGCCGUAACUAUAACGGUCCUAAGGUAGCGAAAUUCCUUGUCGGGUAAGUUCCGACCUGCACGAAUGGCGUAAUGAUGGCCAGGCUGUCUCCACCCGAGACUCAGUGAAAUUGAACUCGCUGUGAAGAUGCAGUGUACCCGCGGCAAGACGGAAAGACCCCGUGAACCUUUACUAUAGCUUGACACUGAACAUUGAGCCUUGAUGUGUAGGAUAGGUGGGAGGCUUUGAAGUGUGGACGCCAGUCUGCAUGGAGCCGACCUUGAAAUACCACCCUUUAAUGUUUGAUGUUCUAACGUGGACCCGUGAUCCGGGUUGCGGACAGUGUCUGGUGGGUAGUUUGACUGGGGCGGUCUCCUCCUAAAGAGUAACGGAGGAGCACGAAGGUUGGCUAAUCCUGGUCGGACAUCAGGAGGUUAGUGCAAUGGCAUAAGCCAGCUUGACUGCGAGCGUGACGGCGCGAGCAGGUGCGAAAGCAGGUCAUAGUGAUCCGGUGGUUCUGAAUGGAAGGGCCAUCGCUCAACGGAUAAAAGGUACUCCGGGGAUAACAGGCUGAUACCGCCCAAGAGUUCAUAUCGACGGCGGUGUUUGGCACCUCGAUGUCGGCUCAUCACAUCCUGGGGCUGAAGUAGGUCCCAAGGGUAUGGCUGUUCGCCAUUUAAAGUGGUACGCGAGCUGGGUUUAGAACGUCGUGAGACAGUUCGGUCCCUAUCUGCCGUGGGCGCUGGAGAACUGAGGGGGGCUGCUCCUAGUACGAGAGGACCGGAGUGGACGCAUCACUGGUGUUCGGGUUGUCAUGCCAAUGGCACUGCCCGGUAGCUAAAUGCGGAAGAGAUAAGUGCUGAAAGCAUCUAAGCACGAAACUUGCCCCGAGAUGAGUUCUCCCUGACCCUUUAAGGGUCCUGAAGGAACGUUGAAGACGACGACGUUGAUAGGCCGGGUGUGUAAGCGCAGCGAUGCGUUGAGCUAACCGGUACUAAUGAACCGU